CCUACGGGCGGCAGCAGUGAGGAAUAUUGGUCAAUGGUCGGGAGACUGAACCAGCCAAGCCGCGUGAGGGAGGAAGGUACAGAGUAUCGUAAACCUCUUUUGUCAGGGAACAAAGGCGGGGACGUGACCCCGAAUGAGUGUACCUGAAGAAAAAGCAUCGGCUAACUCCGUGCCAGCAGCCGCGGUAAUACGGAGGAUGCGAGCGUUAUCGGGAUGUAUUGGGUUUAAAGGGGGCGCAGGGGGUCUGUUAAGUCAGCGGUCAAAGCCCGGGGCUCAACCCCGGCCCGCCGUUGAAACUGGCAGUCUUGAGUUGGAGAGAGGUAUGCGGAAUGCGCGGUGUAGCGGUGAAAUGCGUAGAUAUCGCGCAGAACACCGAUUGCGAAGGCAGCAUGCCGGCUCCACACUGACGCUGAGGCACGAAAGCGUGGGUAUCGAACAGGAUUAGAUACCCCAGUAGUC
rnacentral:rRNA from 1 species